CCUACGGGUGGCUGCAGUGGGGAAUUUUGGACAAUGGGCGAAAGCCUGAUCCAGCAAUGCCGCGUGAGUGAAGAAGGCCUUCGGGUUGUAAAGCUCUUUUGUUUGGGAAGAAAUCCCUAAGGAUAAUACCCUUGGGGGAUGACGGUACCAAAAGAAUAAGCACCGGCUAACUACGUGCCAGCAGCCGCGGUAAUACGUAGGGUGCAAGCGUUAAUUGGAAUGUGUGGGGGCGAUUCUGGCGGAGACGGGUGAAAUCCCCGAGCUCAACUUGGGAACUGCACUUGUGACUGCAAGACUAGAGUGUGUCAGAGGGAGGUAGAAUUCCACGUGUAGCAGUGAAAUGCGUAGAUAUGUGGAGGAAUACCAGUGGCGAAGGCGGCCUCCUGGGAUAACACUGACGCUCAUGUACGAAAGCGUGGGGAGCAAACAGGAUUAGAUACCCGAGUAGUC
rnacentral:rRNA from 1 species